UCCGUGUUAACCACGGCAGUCUCUCUAGAGAGCCCAACUUAAUGCUGGCAACUAAAGACAAGGGUUGCGCUCGUUGCGGGACUUAACCCAACAUGUCACCACACGAGCUGACGACAGCCAUGCAGCACCUGUCAUCCUGUGGUAUUGCUACCAAGACCGUAUUUCUACGGCUGUCAGGAGAUGUCAAACCCAGGUAAGGUUCUGCGCGUUGCUUCGAAUUAAACCACAUGAUCCACCGCUUGUGCGGGCCCCCGUCAAUUCCUUUGAGUUUUAGUCUUGCGACCGUACUUCCCAGGCGGGAUACUUAUUGCGUUAGCUCCGGCUCGGCGGGGGUCAAGACCCACCAAGCCUAGUAUCCAUCGUUUACGGCGUGGACUAC
rnacentral:misc_RNA from 1 species